AGUGGCAUGUGGCGAGCAUAACCCGUGUGGGGUAUGCGUAGCGAAGGCGAGUCUUAAAAGGCGUUUGAGUCGCGUGUCCUGGACCCGAAGCGGGAUGAUCUAGCCCUGGGCAGGUUGAAGCGCGGGUAAGACCGCGUGGAGGACCGAACCCACCUGGGUUGAAAACCGGGGGGAUGACCUGGGGCUAGGGGUGAAAGGCCAAUCAAAUUCCGUGAUAGCUGGUUCUCUCCGAAAUGCAUUUGGGUGCAGCGUCGGGUCAUUACGUCCCGGGGGUAGAGCUACUGGAUGCUUGCGGGCCCGUAUCGGGUACCAACAGCAACCAAACUCCGAAUACCGGUGACGCGUAUCCCGGCAGUGAGUCGGCGGGGGAUAAGCUUCGUCGUCGAAAGGGAAACAGCCCAGACCGUCGUCUAAGGUCCCGAAGCGUGUGCUAAGUGGGAAAGGAUGUGGAGUCGCAUAGACAGCCAGGAGGUUGGCUCAGAAGCAGCCACCCUUGAAAGAGUGCGUAACAGCUCACUGGUCUAGUGGUUCCGCGCCGACAAUGUAGCGGGGCUCAAGCACACCACCGAAGACGCGGCAGUAUUUUGUACUGGGUAGGAGAGCGUCCCAUGAGGGGCGAAGCGGCCGUGUGAACGCGCCGUGGACUUCAUGGGAGUGAGAAUGCAGACAUGAGUAGCGAGAGACGGGUGAAGAUCCCGUCCGCUGGAUGACCAAGGGUUCCAGGGCCACGUUCAUCGUCCCUGGGUGAGUCGGGUCCUAAGGCGAGGCCGACAGGCGUAGUCGAAUGGAUGAACGGGUGGAUAUUCCCGUACCGGCAGCGAACCGACAGGACCGAGGCGGUGAGUACUAACCUCCGUCGCGGGCCGUUCCCCUCCUUCGGGUGGGGUCCGGCGCGUGGCGUUGGGAGCGUAGCCGUGGUAGGUGAGCGCAGGGGUGACACGGAAUGGGAGCCGGCCGCGGAGGUGGUUUUCCGUGGUCAAGCACGCAGCCAGUCGCAUAGGCAAAUCCGUGCGGCGUGUAUGGCGAGGUGCGAUGAUGGGAGCCGUUUCGGCUCGAUAUCCGGUGGUCCAGGCCGUCGAGAAAAGCCCCGGCGUCAGGCGCGUUGCCGCCCGUACCCCAAACCGACACUGGUGGUCAGGUAGAGAAUACCAAGGCGAUCGAGCGAAUCCUGGUCAAGGAACUCGGCAAAUCACUCCCGUUCCUUCGGUUUAAGGGAGACCCCCGAUGGUGAACACACUUGCUGUGGGAGCUUUUGGGGGUGGCACAGACCAGGGGGUAGCGACUGUUUACCAAAAACACAGGUGCAUGCGAAGGCGCAAGCCGCUGUAUAUGCACUGACGCCUGCCCGGUGCCGGAAGGUUAAGAGGAUCCGUCAGCCCCCUUGGGGGUGAAGCGGUGAAUUCAAGCCCCGGUAAACGGCGGUGGUAACUAUAACCAUCCUAAGGUAGCGAAAUUCCUUGUCGGGUAAGUUCCGACCUGCACGAAUGGCGUAACGACUUCCCCACUGUCUCGACCAGGAGCUCGGCGAAAUUGCAGUACGAGUAAAGAUGCUCGUUAAGCGCAGAAGGACGAAAAGACCCCGGGACCUUUACUAUACCUUGGUAUUGGCAUUCGGUGUGGAUUGUGUAGCAUAGGCGGGAGGCCGAGAGGCGCGGUCGCCAGAUCGCGCGGAGCCGUAAGGUGAAAUACCGCUCUGUUCGCAUUGGAUGUCUAACCUCGAACAGUCAUCCUGUUCAGGGACAGUGCCUGGCGGAUUC
rnacentral:rRNA from 1 species